rnacentral:rRNA from 1 species
AUUGAACGCUGGCGGCAGGCUUAACACAUGCAAGUCGAGCGGAGCGAGGGUGCUUGCACCUUAGCUUAGCGGCGGACGGGUGAGUAAUGCUUAGGAAUCUGCCUAUUAGUGGGGGACAACAUUCCGAAAGGAAUGCUAAUACCGCAUACGCCCUACGGGGGAAAGCAGGGGAUCUUAGGACCUUGCGCUAAUAGAUGAGCCUAGGUCGGAUUAGCUAGUUGGUGGGGUAACGGCUCACCAAGGCGACGAUCCGUAGCUGGUCUGAGAGGAUGAGCAGCCACACUGGAACGGAGACACGGUCCAGACUCCUACGGGAGUCAGCAGUGGGGAAUAUUGGACAAUGGGCGAAAGCCUGAUCCAGCCAUGCCGCGUGUGUGAAGAAGGUCUUCGGAUUGUAAAGCACUUUAAGUUGGGAGGAAGGGUUGUAAGCUAAUAUCUUGCAGCUUUGACGUUACCAACAGAAUAAGCACCGGCUAACUCUGUGCCAGCCGCCGCCGUAA